AACCAAAGGAAGUUGGAGGCAAUAACAGGUCUGNGAAUGCCCUUAAAAUGUUCUGGGCCCGCACGCGCGCUUACACUUGAUGCGUUCAACGAGUAUACAACCUUGAUCGAUAGGUCUGGGUAAUCUUAUGAAUGCGCAUCGUGCUAGGGAUAGACUGUUGCAAUUUUCAGUCUUGAACGAGGAAUUCCUAGUAAACGCAAGUCAUCAGCUUGCAUUGAUUACGUCCCUGCCCUUUGUACACACCGCCGUCGCACCUACCGAUUGAAUGACUCGGUGAAAAAUUGGGACCGUGAGUCCGCUUGCUUCAUUGCGAGUGGAUUGAUGGAAACUUUUUUAAACCUCGCCAUUUAGAGGAAGGUGAAGUCGUAACAAGGUUUCCGUAGGUGAACCUGCGGAAGGAUCAUU
rnacentral:rRNA from 1 species